GGGCGCAUAGCUCAGUUGGUAGAGCAGCUGACUCUUAAUCAGCGGGUCCUAGGUUCGAAUCCUAGUGCGCCCACCA
rnacentral:tRNA from 1 species